UAUGGCCAUAUAAUGUUGAAACACCGGUUCUUGUAUGAUCACCAAAGUUAAGCAACAUCAAGUCUGGUCAGUACCUAGAUGGGUGACCACUUGGAAAUACCAGGUUCUGUA